UAGGGAAUCUUCGGCAAUGGGGGCAACCCUGACCGAGCAACGCCGCUUGAGUGAAGAAGGUUUUCGGAUCGUAAAGCUCUGUUGUAAGUCAAGAACGGGUGUGAGAGUGGAAAGUUCACACUGUGACGGUAGCUUACCAGAAAGGGACGGCUAACUACGUGCCAGCAGCCGCGGUAAUACGUAGGUCCCGAGCGUUGUCCGGAUUUAUUGGGCGUAAAGCGAGCGCAGGCGGUUUGAUAAGUCUGAAGUUAAAGGCUGUGGCUCAACCAUAGUUCGCUUUGGAAACUGUCAAACUUGAGUGCAGAAGGGGAGAGUGGAAUUCCAUGUGUAGCGGUGAAAUGCGUAGAUAUAUGGAGGAACACCGGUGGCGAAAGCGGCUCUCUGGUCUGUAACUGACGCUGAGGCUCGAAAAGCGUGGGGAGCGAACAGGAUUAGAUACCCUGGUAGUCCACGCCGUAAAACGAUGAGUGCUAGGUGUUGGAUCCUUUCCGGGAUUCAGUGCCGCAGCUAACGCAUUAAGCACUCCGCCUGGGGAGUACGACCGCAAGGUUGAAAC
rnacentral:rRNA from 1 species